rnacentral:rRNA from 1 species
AUUGAACGCUGGCGGCAGGCUUAACACAUGCAAGUCGAGCGGGGGAAGGUAGCUUGCUACCUGACCUAGCGGCGGACGGGUGAAUAAUGCUUAGGAAUCUGCCUAUUAGUGGGGGACAACAUUUCGAAAGGGAUGCUAAUACCGCAUACGCCCUACGGGGGAAAGCAGGGGAUCAUUUGACCUUGCGCUAAUAGAUGAGCCUAAGUCGGAUUAGCUAGUUGGUGGGGUAAAGGCCUACCAAGGGGACGAUCUGUAGCGGGUCUGAGAGGAUGAUCCGCCACACUGGGACUGAGACACGGCCCAGACUCCUACGGGAGGCAGCAGUGGGGAAUAUUGGACAAUGGGGGGAACCCUGAUCCAGCCAUGCCGCGUGUGUGAAGAAGGCCUUUUGGUUGUAAAGCACUUUAAGCGAGGAGGAGGCUUACUUAGUUAAUACCUAGGAUAAGUGGACGUUACUCGCAGAAUAAGCACCGGCUAACUCUGUGCCAGCCGCCGCGGUAACAC